CCUACGGGAGGCAGCAGUGGGGAAUAUUGGACAAUGGGGGGAACCCUGAUCCAGCCAUGCCGCGUGUGUGAAGAAGGCCCUCGGGUUGUAAAGCACUUUCAGUGAGGAAGAACGCCUGGUGGUUAAUACCCAUCAGGAAAGACAUCACUCACAGAAGAAGCACCGGCUAAACUCCGUGCCAGCAGCCGCGGUAAUACGGAGGGUGCGAGCGUUAAUCGGAAUUACUGGGCGUAAAGCGCGCGUAGGUGGCUUGAUAAGCCGGUUGUGAAAGCCCCGGGCUCAACCUGGGAACGGCAUCCGGAACUGUCAAGCUAGAGUGCAGGAGAGGAAGGUAGAAUUCCCGGUGUAGCGGUGAAAUGCGUAGAGAUCGGGAGGAAUACCAGUGGCGAAGGCGGCCUUCUGGACUGACACUGACACUGAGGUGCGAAAGCGUGGGUAGCAAACAGGAUUAGAUACCCGAGUAGUC
rnacentral:rRNA from 1 species